CGGGGCGUAGCUCAGCCUGGUAGAGCGCUUGCUUUGGGAGCAAGAAGUCGCAAGUUCGAAUCUUGUCGCCCCGACCA
rnacentral:tRNA from 2 species